rnacentral:rRNA from 1 species
UACGUAGGCAGCGAGCGUUGUUCGGAAUUACUGGGCGUAAAGAGUGUGUAGGCGGUGCUCUAAGUUCGGUGUGAAAUCUCCCGGCUUAACUGGGAGGGUGCGCCGGGAACUGGAGUGCUCGAGCGUGGGAGAGGAAAGCGGAAUUCCUGGUGUAGCGGUGAAAUGCGUAGAUAUCAGGAGGAACACCUGCGGUGUAGACGGCUUUCUGGACCAUUGCUGACGCUGAGACACGAAAGCGUGGGUAGCAAACAGG